UAUAUUAUUAUUAUUGUUAUUAUUAUUAUUAUUAUUGUUAUUAUUAUUAUUAUUAUUAUUAUUAUUAUUAUUAUUAUUAUUAUUGUUGUUGUUAUUAUUUUAGAAAGGCGAAGUGCAGUCCCAAAAGUGAGUUCCCAAUAACAGAAUAAAGAAAGUCGAUAGGGUCGAAAUUUGCGUCGAUCAAAAGGCGUUGCAGUCUGCAGGGUCUUUGAAUGAAAUAGUGAGAAACACAAGAUAAAUAGUGGUAAUGAUUAUCAUGAUAAUUCUUAAGAUAAUGAUAAUGACACAAAUAGUGUUAUGUUAUUAGUUAGUAAUAUUAGUAGCAUUAUUAUUUUUGUUAAUACUAUUAUCAUUAUCAUUAUUAUUACUGUUGUUGUCUUAUUUUUUCGUUAUUAUUAUUGUUAUUAUCAUAAUCCUUACAGGUAUUAUUAAUUUUAUGAUCAUUAUUAUCAUGAUCAGCGAUAACAAUAGGAGGAGUGUAAGUAGUAAUAAUAACAAUCAUGAUACUAAUGAUAGUGAUAAUGAGGAUAAUGAUGGUAACAAUUGUAAUGAUAGAUUAAUAGUAAUAAUGAUGAUAAUGAUAAUUAUCAUCGUUAUGAUAAUAAUGAAUAUAGUGAGGAUGAUUAUGUUAAGGAUAAUGAUGGUAGUGAUAAGAAGAAUAAGGAUGAUGAUGAGCAUGACAUGUCAAUGAUGGCAGCACGAAUGACAGCCGCGGGAGCUUUAGAACAUUGAACAACAAAUGGGAAUUGGCAGAGCGCUUUCUUAUGGAAAUCACUGGUAGCGGUAACAAGGCAAAAGAAGUGAGCUUUGCCGCGCCUUUGCAUAGAAAAUGGAAGUGAGGAACAAGGAUAAUGAGGAAGAAUAGGGAAGGAAAGAAGGGCAGGAAAGGAAUAUUCGCCCCGCCGAAGGUCAGCUCGGCCCGGCAGGAGGAAAUGGAUAUUUCAAUCUAUUCUGGUUUCGCUGCCCGUCUUAAAUAUAGGCGCGAUACCUACUCGCUUUGUCGGUUCUUGCGAGAGGGGCAGAGAGGCGGGGGGGAGGGGAGGGAAUGGAGGAAGGUGGGUAGCUGGCGGAGGGAGGGAGGGUAGGGAAGGGGCUGGAGGAAGGAAGGAGAAGGGGAGGAGGAAAAAUCUGCUUGCAUUGCGUCCCGUCGUCAGGCGAGUCGCGCCCGCAGUGCCAGGCGCUGGGACGUUGCUUGGGCGGCCGCGGUUCGAGGGAUCAGUCGUGGGGACGAGGGCGCCUCGCGUUGUGCCUUUUGGUGUUUGCGAUCGGUGUGGUGUUAGCGAUGUAAUGGUGAUAAUCAUGAUGAUAAUGAUUGAUUGAUGAAUACCUGGAGAUGUGAGUUUCGGGCACAAACCCUUCCUUAGUCUGGCUUCUCACGAACACGUAAGUAUGUGGUUUUGUUCCAACCUCUUUGGGGAUUUUUGGCCAGUGCGCUUCUGGAUUUGCGUCGUGUUCGUUGCCGUGGAAUUCGAGUCCGAAACAAUUGAUAACUGUCAGACCUUUUGUUGCGUUAUUUCCGAUGCUCUUUUGUUCGUGUCGUCGGCGUUGUUGGUCUUGCUGGGUCGGCGCCAUUUUCCGCCUUGUUGCUAGGAGUAGGAUGAACAUUACCAUCGUCUUCCUCAAUGUCGUUUUCUUUUUUUCAUCAUAACCAUUUCAUUUAUAUUGUUUUGGCCAUUAUUCUCAUCAUAAUCAUUAUUGUUAUUUAUGUUGAGAAUAUUAUUUCUCAUCAUUAUCCCUCAUGACGAACCAGUAAGACUUGGAAAUCCGUAAAAAAGUAAGAAAUCGGAAAUUUCGGACUGGAGGCGUGCCGUCCGAUCCGGCUGUUUCGGAGCAGCUUUUACCUGAAACGGCAAACUGGCUUUUAAUUUCAAAUCGAAAGACAGAAAAAAUAAGUUAGAUUACAGUUUCCUCGAGAUGAUAGAUACAAAUUCCCUUAUUCUUUUCUACUGAUAUUUGUUCACUAGAAGGUAGAGCGAGGCAGCUGGUGCUGCGCCCCGGAGAGAGUACCUCUGGGCGGGUCUCUUGGGCCGCCGCUGCUCGAGUGCGGUCCCGGCGUGCGAGGCGGCGCCGAAGAGCCUGUCGUCCUUGCAAAUUGUUCUGCGCAAAAAUGCAACAAUAUCAGACCCCGGUGUGACCUUAGGGCGGGAGGUAGACAUAGAAAGCCUAAUGUUCGAUUCUCAAGAAUGAAUGGAACUC
rnacentral:misc_RNA from 1 species